rnacentral:tRNA from 1 species
GCGUCAGUGGUUUAGUGGUAAAAUCCAUCGUUGCCAUGAGCAGAUAUCGAUGGGCCCCGCGUUCGAUUCGCGGCUGACGCA